UGGGGAAUUUUGGACAAUGGGCGCAAGCCUGAUCCAGCAAUGCCGCGUGAGUGAAGAAGGCCUUCGGGUUGUAAAGCUCUUUUGUCAGGGAAGAAACGGUGAGGGCUAAUAUCCCUUGCUAAUGACGGUACCUGAAGAAUAAGCACCGGCUAACUACGUGCCAGCAGCCGCGGUAAUACGUAGGGUGCAAGCGUUAAUCGGAAUUACUGGGCGUAAAGCGUGCGCAGGCGGUUUUGUAAGUCUGUCGUGAAAUCCCCGGGCUCAACCUGGGAAUUGCGAUGGAGACUGCAAGGCUAGAAUCUGGCAGAGGGGGGUAGAAUUCCACGUGUAGCAGUGAAAUGCGUAGAGAUGUGGAGGAACACCGAUGGCGAAGGCAGCCCCCUGGGUCAAGAUUGACGCUCAUGCACGAAAGCGUGGGGAGCAAACA
rnacentral:rRNA from 1 species